rnacentral:tRNA from 1 species
ACUUAAAUAGUUUAAAAAAAAUAUAAAUUUGUGGCAUUUAAGAUGUAAUAUAAUUACUUUAAGUA